AGGCAGUGUAUAUAUUCAGUCGCUGUGCAGUGAUGCACAAGUACAGUUGUACACUGUAUAGUGCUGAAGAUGUGCGUUAAACUAUAAAAAGAAUUUAAUUAUUCAAACAGUGGACUCAACCGACCAUCGUCCGGCAUCAUAAUAUCUUAACAAAAUUAUGCCGCGAAUCAAUCAUCUCUUCUGAUGGAAACACAAUGAGAUCAAUUGAUAGACGAUUGCGGAAUAGGAGAUUAAUAACAAACGGCUGCUGAUGGAAUACUGUAAUUUCUGGAAAUAAUCUACCACAUUCGAAAUGCUGACAAACAAUUUGAGACAUUCUUUAACAAUAAAAAUU